GACAGAGGGUGCAAACGUUGUUCGGAAUUACUGGGCGUAAAGCGCGUGUAGGCGGCUGCGUGUGUCGGGCGUGAAAUCCCAUGGCUCAACCAUGGAAGUGCACCCGAAACUGCGUAGCUAGAGUCCUGGAGAGGAAGGUGGAAUGCUUGGUGUAGAGGUGAAAUUCGUAGAUAUCAGGAGGAACACCGGUGGCGAAGGCGGCUUCCUGGACAAAAACUGACGCUGAGGCGCGAAAGCUAGGGGAGCAAACAGG
rnacentral:rRNA from 1 species